rnacentral:rRNA from 1 species
CAGCCGCCGCGGUAAUACGUAGGGUGCGAGCGUUAAUCGGAAUUACUGGGCGUAAAGCGUGCGCAGGCGGUUGUGCAAGACAGAUGUGAAAUCCCCGAGCUUAACUUGGGAACUGCAUUUGUGACUGCACGGCUAGAGUGUGUCAGAGGGGGGUAGAAUUCCACGUGUAGCAGUGAAAUGCGUAGAUAUGUGGAGGAAUACCGAUGGCGAAGGCAGCCCCCUGGGAUAACACUGACGCUCAUGCACGAAAGCGUGGGGAGCAAACAGGAUUAGAUACCCCCGUAGUCCCUGUCUCUUAUAC